UGUUAGAGUCAGCUUUGGACACAUUCCUG
rnacentral:piRNA from 1 species